GGGUGCGUUCGUAAAUUCACUCGGGCUAUUUUCUCAGAUUUCACAGCAGUCUAGUCUGACCGAGCCUACUUGGGGUGCGUUCGUAAAUUCACUCGGGCUAUUUUCUCAGAUUUCACAGCAGUCUAGUCUGACCGAGCCUACUUGGGGUGCGUUCGUAAAUUCACUCGGGCUAUUUUCUCAGAUUUCACAGCAGUCUACUCUGAGUGUGCCAGAGCGUAAAAUAACGGAUUAAUUUACCAACACUCAACACCCGUAGAAUAUGGCCGGUGUCAGUAAACGUCGGCAUAAAAGUGUUAUUAAAUUGUUGCCACAGUUACAGUCACCAACACCCUGGAUAACAUGAAAACAGCCUAACCAGCUCUGCUAGGGUGAGUAAAAUAAUCAGUGAGCUGUUCUCUCAUUUAUGUCUGGAAGUAGCUAGUAAGCGAGCUCAAUUUAGCCAGUUAGAUUGGGUGCUUGACUGCCGUUGUGAGGUCAGAACGCUCGGAUCAUCCCUGCUCCCAGUGUGCGCUCUGAAUGCUCAGAGAGCAAAACGCUCUAAAUUUACAAACUGACAACGCUUUGAAUUUACAAACGCCCAGAGUACACGGAGCGCUCUGUGGCAUAGUGAAUUUACAAACGCCCAGAGUACACUGAGCGCUCUGUGGCAUAGUGAAUUUACAAACGCCCAGAGUACACUGAGAGCUCUGUGGCAUAGUGAAUUUACAAACGCCCAGAGUACACUGAGCGCUCUGUGGCAUAGUGAAUUUACGAACGCCCAGAGUACACUGAGCGCUCUGUGGCAUAGUGAAUUUACAAACGCCCAGAGUACACUGAGCGCUCUGUGGCAUAGUGAAUUUACAAACGCCCAGAGUACACUGAGAGCUCUGUGGCAUAGUGAAUUUACGAACGCCCAGAGUACACUGAGCCCUCUGUGGCAUAGUGAAUUUACGAACAAUAUCCUGAAGCCACCAGGGCUCUAUUUCCCUAUGUGGGAGCAUUGUGAUCCGUUGGUCAGGUUUUUUAAAGACACUAGGGCUCUAUUUCCCUAUGUGGGAGCAUUGUGAUCCGUCGGUCGGGUUUUUUAAAGACACCAGGGCUCUAUUUCCCUAUGUGGGAGCAUUGUGAUCCGUCUGUCAGGUUUUUUAAAGACACCAGGGCUCUAUUUCCCUAUGUGGGAGCAUUGUGAUCCGUCGGUCAGGUUUUUUAAAGACACCAGGGCUCUAUUUCCCUAUGUGGGAGCAUUGUGAUCCGUCAGUCAGGUUUUUUAAAGACACCAGGGCUCUAUUUCCCUAUGUGGGAGCAUUGUGAUCCGUCGGUUGUUUUUUUUAAAGACACCAGGGCUCUAUUUCCCUAUGUGGGAGCAUUGUGAUCCGUCGGUCAGGUUUUUUAAAGACACCAGGGCUCUAUCUCCCUAUGUGGGAGCAUUGUGAUCCGUCGGUCAGGUUUUUUAAAGACACCAGGGCUCUAUUUCCCUAUGUGGGAGCAUUGUGAUCCGUCGGUCAGGUUUUUUAAAGACACCAGGGCUCUAUUUCCCAAUGUGGGAGCAUUGUGAUCCGUCGGUCAGGUUUUUGAACUGGUUACAUGUAAAUGGUGACUAACCCCAUUCUGUACAAAUUUGUGCAACUGCGGCAUUCAAACGAGGCUGCAAUGAAAACUUUCUUUUUAUUUGUUUUACUUAACUAGGCAAGUCAGUUAAGAACAUAUUCUUAUUUACAAUGAAGGCCUACACCGGCCAAAACCAGGACGCUGGGAAAAUUAUGCGCUGCCCAAUCACGGCCGGUUGUGAUACAGCCUGGAUUCGAACAGGGCGUCUGUAGCGACGCCUCUAGCACUGAGAUGCAGUGCCUUAGACCUCUGCACCACUCAGGAGCCCUAAUGGGACUGUAGAGACGCCUCUAGCACUGAGAUGCAGUGCCUUAGACCUCUGCACCACUCAGGAGCCCUAAUGGGACUGUAGAGACGCCUCUAGCACUGAGAUGCAGUGCCUUAGACCUCUGCACCACUCGGGAGCCCUAAUGGGACUGUAGCGACGCCUCUAGCACUGAGAUGCAGUGCCUUAGACCUCUGCACCACUCGGGAGCCCUAAUGGGACUGUAGCGACGCCUCUAGCACUGAGAUGCAGUGCC